CCAUAAUGGACUUUGACGAUUUGUAUGUUCCCCCAACCGUUUAAAAGAACAGUUAUCUGCCUCCACUUUAGCUGCAUUGCAAGAAUUCAAACAGGA
rnacentral:misc_RNA from 1 species